AACUAGCUGGUUUAGAGCGCACGCCUGAUAAGCGUGAGGUCGGUGGUUCGAGUCCACUUAGGCCCAUACCGAAAGGUCGGUUUUGAAUAUUAUGGGGAAUUAGCUCAGCUGGGAGAGCACCUGCUUUGCAAGCAGGGGGUCAGCGGUUCGAUCCCGCUAUUCUCCAUUGACACGUAAGUGUCAUUCUUGUUCUUUGAAAACUAGAUAAUAUUAUUUUCUGUAAUAAUUAUAUUUUUAUAUAUAAUUGAACCGAGAAAUAACCAUUGUGUUAUUUUUGAGUUUUUUAAUUAGUUUUAAUCGCUAAAACUCAAAUAAUUUAUAAUCCGUAGGAUUAUAGGUUAAGUUAAUAAGGGCGCAUGGUGAAUGCCUUGGUACUAGGAGCCGAUGAAGGACGCAACUAACUGCGAUAAGCUUCGGGGAGCUGUACGUAAGCUUUGAUCCGGAGAUUUCCGAAUGAGGAAACUCGACCAGUGUUAUGACUGGUCACUGCAUAGUGAAUACAUAGCUAUGCAGAGGCAGACGUGGGGAACUGAAACAUCUAAGUACCCACAGGAAUAUAAAGAAAUUUCGAUUCCCUAAGUAGCGGCGAGCGAACGGGGAACAGCCCAAACCGAACCCUUGUGGUUCGGGGUUGUAGGACUGAACAUUUGAGUUACAAAAGUAUUUGAUAGUUGAAGUAGUUGGGAAGCUACACCAAAGAGAGUGAUAGUCUCGUAAACGAAAUCGAAUACCCUCAGUUCAGGAUCCUGAGUACGGCGACACACGUGAAACGUCGUCGGAAUCUGGGAGGACCAUCUCCCAAGGCUAAAUACUCCCUAGUGACCGAUAGUGAACCAGUACGGGGGGG
rnacentral:sRNA from 2 species